rnacentral:tRNA from 1 species
ACCUGGCUGGCUCAGUUGGAGGAGUGAGUGAUUCUUGAUCUUGGGGCUGUGGGUUCAAGUCCCAUGUUGGGUA